rnacentral:rRNA from 1 species
UACGUAGGGGGCGAGCGUUGUCCGGAUUUAUUGGGCGUAAAGAGCUCGUAGGCGGUCUGUUGCGUCCGCUGUGAAAACUCGGGGCUUAACCCCGAGCCUGCAGUGGAUACGGGCAGACUAGAGGUAGGUAGGGGAGAAUGGAAUUCCCGGUGUAGCGGUGAAAUGCGCAGAUAUCGGGAGGAACACCGGUGGCGAAGGCGGUUCUCUGGGCCUUACCUGACGCUGAGGCGCGAAAGCUAGGGGAGCAAACAGG